UGGGGAAUAUUGCACAAUGGGGGAAACCCUGAUGCAGCGACGCCGCGUGAACGAAGAAGGUAUUCGUAUCGUAAAGUUCUGUCCUAUGGGAAGAUAAUGACAGUACCAUAGAAGAAAGCUCCGGCUAAAUACGUGCCAGCAGCCGCGGUAAUACGUAUGGAGCGAGCGUUGUCCGGAAUUAUUGGGCGUAAAGGGUACGCAGGCGGUUUAAUAAGUCGAAUGUUAAAGAUCGGGGCUCAACCCCGCAAAGCAUUGGAAACUGAUAAACUUGAGUAGUGGAGAGGAAAGUGGAAUUCCUAGUGUAGUGGUGAAAUACGUAGAUAUUAGGAGGAAUACCAGUAGCGAAGGCGACUUUCUGGACAUAAACUGACGCUGAGGUACGAAAGCGUGGGGAGCAAACAGG
rnacentral:rRNA from 1 species